GCUUACGGCCAUACCAGCUCAAGAACGCCCGGUCCUUGUCUGAUCUCGGAAGCUUAAGAAGGCUUGGGCCUGGUUAGUACUAGGAUGGGAGACCUCCUGGGAAUACCAGGUGCUGUAAGCU
ensembl:rRNA 5S_rRNA 5S ribosomal RNA